rnacentral:misc_RNA from 1 species
GAAGUGAGCCUACAAAGGAUCCAAAUGAAGUACAAGAAUGAAACUGAGCUUCUUGAAGACAGCUUGGCUCUUCCUGGAUUCGCACCUCUGUCUUCCAAGUUUGCUUCAAGUGAAGAGGAAUUUGUGGAUUCGGAUGACCUAGCAAACAGCCGUCCACGUACCCAACCUGCUGCAGUUCAUAAUCCUCUAACUGAUAAUAUCCUUACGGCACCUGCAGGAAGCUUGAAGCAAGAGUUUAGGCGGCGGCAUACACCAUAUGGUUGGCUUAAUAAAAUGGAUCCUCUAGAGCCAGUUCUUUUGUUCACAAAACCUCUUGUUCCAGAAAAGUUGGCAGCUGCAGGCAUUGUGCCACCAGUAGAUUCUUCAUCAAAGAAUUGUUCAUCUGCUCCUCCUUUCAGAUUUCAUGGAAGAAUUGGCCGAGGGGGACGGAUUGUAUUUGAUAGAUGGAACCCAUUUUUGCAAACUUCAAUAGAACUUGGCAAUUCUUUUUACUUCCUGCCAAGACCUCGCCCUUCAGCAUAUAAUUGAUAUUGUUACUUGCAUUGUCUUGUUGCUGUGGCUGAUGAUAAUCUGGAAAUAGGCUCAGAUGAUAUUUAUUGUAAUUAUUCAAUAUAAAUCAAGGAAUUUUUUAGGGAUUGCAAAUGCUAUGCUAGGCACUGUGGCAGGUAUUUUACUCUGGCAGCGAAGCCGCC